GUCAAUAUCCUUAUUGUGUUGUAAUGCGGUGCAGACAUGCCAAAUUAAAGCUGUAUUACCUCACAAUAAUAAUAUAUCAUGGAUAAAAACACAGGCAUAUAUUGGUGCUGAUAUGCAAUAUAGUAAUAUUGCAGGAAUUUUGCUCAAUAGCAAUGUGUGGGUGGCUCUGAAAAGAGCUGUUUUGAGAGUGUUUGUGCACUACACGGUGUCUUGCCAUGGGACACUUCUCUCUGCAGAUAAGUAGGACAUGAAGACCUCCCUAGCCCUGAUGGCCUCUCUUGCUGAGUUGUUGGCAGCAAGUCUUCCCAGACCUGGCAGUGGCUCCACCUCACCAACCGGGAUGCUCCCCCUUCCUGCAGUUGUCCAGGUUGUCCUCCGCAGGAAGUUAUGGCGAACACAGGUAGCCUUCACAAACUUCUCUGCAACUUCUGGGUGGACCUCAAGGGCACGCCUGUACAUUCUCCACUGAAAGGAUAUAGAAGGCAUUCUCCACUACCAGCCGAGCUCAGGACAGACGGUAGUUGGAUAUCCGUCGCUCUCGUGGAAGGACGCACCCAGGGAAUGGCCUCAUAAGAUUUUUCUGAAGUGGAAAGGCCUCGUCAGCAAUGAAGACAUGGCUGGGGUUCUCAGUGGUCAGUUCUGGAAAAUGGCAAGUCAACAGGCAGUUGGAGGGUGCCAGAUCGCAGUACCUGACCAAAGGCUGAGUUGGCCAGAAUCCCACCGUCGCUUGUUCUUCCAUAGCCCCCAACAUCAAUCACCCGAAAACAAUAUUGGGCAUCUACAACUGCCAGGAGAACUAGAGAGAAUGUUCCCUUGUAGUUGUAGUACUGGAAUCCUGAAUUAGCAGGGGCUUUAAGAACGAAGUGUUAGCCAUUCAGUGCUCCACAGCAGAGAGGAAAAUUCUACCGCUCCUCAAACCUCUCUGCAAUUGAUCUCCACUCCUCUGUGGUGGAGUGCACAAGGGAGCACAGCCAUGAAGCCAUCCAUGAGGCAGUCCCACAUAGCAGUGACAACAUCUGGUAUGAUCUUGGAGACAGUGAAGACCCCAACACGAAAGCUGUUCGCGAUGGUCAUCAGUGGCUAGACCAAAAACUGCAACUCACCGGAGACAGAUGGACAGGCACUCUGCAGCUGAGACGGACCACUUGUAGUUGGUGUCCACCCAUUAUAUCCUGGCACAGAUCCUCGCCAACAUGUCAUCAAACUGGGCCCAUGUCAGCCUGAAGUAUCGCUGGAAAUGGCCAUCAUCCAGAUGCGGUUGCUGGAGAGGGCGGUGAAAUUCACCCAGCUGCUGAUAAUGUUAUGGAUCCAGACACGGCGGCGUUUGGUUUUCCGACGUAUCUGGGACUUCCACAACAGAUUCUUUGAAGACCACAAGAAAGUACGUCAUCACUGCUCUGCAGAACACACAGCUAGGACCCUGAGCCGAUCUGGCAGGCUGAGCCGAUCUGGUACCUACACCGGCAGCCUGCACUUGUGCACACUGAUAAAUAUCUUGGUUGAUUUUGGGAGACAAAACAUAAUUUUUUGUCUGCUGAGGCGCUGUCCAUGGUGUUGAAAGGUGCACUUGGUAGGUGUUCUAAGCACUCAAAUAAUUAUCCCCCAUCCUGAUGAAAACGCCUAUGGUGCAUGCAUAAGCAUAUACAUGUAAAGGUCCAUUUGGAGGUUUCAAAAUAUGGUCACCCUAUGGACAUUACUUUUUGUGCAUGGUAUUUCACCUCUUGAGUCUUGGGCAGCACCUUCACACUCAGUACUAUGUUCAUCCUGAAUUAUAGAAAAGAGGGUGUCUAGCUAGUGUUGGUUGUCUUUCUCAGCUAAAUAAAUUUUAAUUUCCAUUCGAUUUAAAGAAUGUUUGCAGGUGAUGUUUCUAAUUUGUUUUUUUAUGCACUCACGGUGCACCUGUAGCGUCGCACAGGCUGAAGCCAGUGUGUUAUCAUUUGAAUUUGAA